AUGUCGUUGCUCGUCGCCUCCCUAACCCCGUCGCCGCCGCCCGGAUCGCCACCUCGCCAGACUGCCUCCCCGCUGUCCUCUACGUCGUCGCCUCCUCCCCUGCAUCGGCCGUCCCCGUCCUCCUCCCCAAAGGAUCCAUCGAGCCUUGCCGCCCGUUCCCCUGCAACAUGGUACUACGAGACCAACGCUGUUGUUGCCCAGUUCGACUACGGAGUUGAUGACCCCUCCUUCUUGCCAGAGCAACCAGGCAAGCCCCCCCUUGAUCACCAGAUAUCGCCUAUUCUUCUCUCUACUGCUUGCAUUAGAGUAAUGUAG
rnacentral:rRNA from 1 species